UUAUAUGAAUUGCAUAUGAUGUAAUUGUUGGAAUAGUUGGUUGACUGGUGCAUCGGGUUUAAAGGCUCAGUUUUGUCAUUUUUCAACUAGCAACAUCGGAAUUUCGUACAAACUUGAAUUGCAGUUAUCAUUGUCUGCCAAGGAGUUGCUUGAUAUGGAUAUAAUUUCAAGAGUUCAAGGAGACGAUUUCAAAGUCAAUAAGGAAUUGGAUGUCAUCUUGAUUUUGCUGGUGAUUUUGAGUGCCGAUAAGCCAGAUUUUGAACAGAGUUUGUGUGGUUUUACUGUUGGUUUUAGGUACGCAUGUCUUGAAUUUUGAUUGUUUUAGCAUCCUGAAAUGAUACGGGAACUUGGGUCUGUUUAGAAAGUGAUAUCCCAGGUGUAGAAUCUCUAAGGAGUGCUUAGUACAACAAGGAAAAUCACACCUCUUAGCACCAACAUAACUGCACAUUAAGUGUAUGUGAGAAAUCCUGACAGAAAGGUAUUGAUUUGAUUACUCUGACCACCAUCUGUUUGCACGAGUGGUGCAUGUAUUUGGACCCGUGGCAUCAAAUUGGUACAUUCACUGAACUUGAAUACUUUAUAAAUUUGGUAUAGUAGAUUAUAGUCUCACUCUAUAUUUUUAUCUCUUGCUUAUUAAUAUUGUCAUACCAUUGCUUCCAUUUUUCCGAUGUAACUAGUAUCUCUAUGUUUUUGGAUGUCCGUUGAUACCUGGCUCCGUUUUCUUUAUAAUUGUAUGUCAAAGGAUUUAGAGAUUGUUUAAUGGAUUAGUACAGCAAUCUUGUUAAUUCCACAUCUAUAUACUCCAACAUACAUUUCUUUUGAGAAGAAUAACGAGAAUGGGAUGUAAUGCUAUUUUAAUAUAUCGUUUGGUGACUGAAAACGGACAGAUGAGUACUGUCUUUAAAUUGAAAUGGAGGUAUUGGAUAUGGGUGUCACAUAAUGUUUCUGGAACUAAAAUAGUUUCAUUUCAUUUAGUCUUGACCCCGUCGGGGUAUUCCAUCAAUAUUGCCAAAUUCUAGGGUUAAGAUACCAUGGUAGUAAUGUGCUAAUUUGUUUAUGUGUUAGCAUUCAGCUACCUUACAUACUUGAACAGUCAGGUCAUACUCUUGCAUCAUUAGCCACACGUACCGUAAUGAUGCGACAAUAAAGUUUCUUUUAUGAAAUUUGUGCUUGAUAGGCUAACGAAAAAUAUGUCUCUUUUUGUGUUAGUCUACUGUUAGGACUGUAACUAGUCUCAGAACCUAUUUUGGCUUGUAAUUUUGAGAAUACAUUUCGAUACAUGCAGGCUGAGAUAGCUUAGUUCCAUAAAAUUUUGUGCUAUAGUCGGUGUAACGUUACAUACUCCCAGUCGGCAACUCUACAAAAGUGUAGUUUUACUGGACUUGUUCCCACUCUGUAACUAUAUUGAGACUGAAAUAUAAAUGGAUUUUUAGAAAGUAAAAUAAAGAGCAUUUUACCCGGUAUAAUGAAACUAUUUUAGCCGUGGUGAUUCUGUAAUGAAACUUCACUGUGAUGUAUCUGACGCGGUAUGCUUAUUUUUAUCAGUUUGCUAGUUUUGGCACUUAUAUUCAUUAUUUGUCCUUUAUCAGUGUAUCCCAGUCCACACAUUGGGAAGAAUUUUGGUGAUUAGUGUUUAUUGCUUCUGGCGCAGGUGAACAUUUUGAUGCAUACUGACGAAGUCUCUUUUAGUGCGCGGCAAAUUUCUAGUAUAGAGUCUUUGAAAAAGGUGUACAGGUUGCUCAAGAUGAAAAAGAACUUUUUCUAAAUUCUCUAAUGAAAAGUCAGGUUGAUGUCAAGCACUUGUAGUCAGCUGUCAGGAAAGGUAACCCCGAGCCAGUAGCAACAAAAGUGACGAAUACGUUGUUGAUAAUGUGAACAUUGUCAAUCCAUUCAUCUUAGAAAACAUUGAUGAAACUAGCUGGAAAUGCUUAUGGAGUACGUGCGAACAUGCAAAUUCUUCAACUUGUUCCAAACUUGUAGGUAUUUGGCUGAGCUCAAAUCUGGCAGUGAAAGGAAAAAAGCUGCUGAGAGUACAUUAAGUCUACUCAGAUGUACGCAGGCGAUGAUGGAGAUGCCCAGCCCAGUCAUUACGGAAGGCAAUUGGAGAUCAUGUUUCCAUAUAAGGCCUCAGCUUAAAUUUUAGAUUAACGUUUUUUACGAAGAUUGAUUUUAAUGCUCUUGAACCAUUGUACUUCUCAUUAUACAUGAAAAUAUGUAAACAACUGAAGGUAUUCUUACGAAAUAACUUUCAUAUUUUCAAAUUCAGAAACUUAGAUUCUUAAACAAAGUUAGUAUUUAUCUUUGAAUUAACCAAAUUGUUGUAUGAUUUAUAUAUUUUUUACAAGAUGAUAUAUAUGAAUAUAUAUCUUGAUGGAUU